CACGUAGGGUGCGAGCGUUGUCCGGAAUUAUUGGGCGUAAAGAGCUCGUAGGCGGUGUGUCGCGUCGGCCGUGAAAACCUGCAGCUUAACUGUGGGCUUGCGGUCGAUACGGGCAUCACUGGAGUUCGGCAGGGGAGACUGGAAUUCCUGGUGUAGCGGUGAAAUGCGCAGAUAUCAGGAGGAACACCGGUGGCGAAGGCGGGGUCUCUGGGCCGAUACUGACGC
rnacentral:rRNA from 1 species